CAGCCGCCACGGUAAUACGAAGGGGGCUAGCGUUGUUCGGAUUUACUGGGCGUAAAGCGCACGUAGGCGGACUUUUAAGUCAGGGGUGAAAUCCCGGGGCUCAACCCCGGAACUGCCUUUGAUACUGGGAGUCUUGAGUUCGAGAGAGGUGAGUGGAAUUGCGAGUGUAGAGGUGAAAUUCGUAGAUAUUCGCAGGAACACCAGUGGCGAAGGCGGCUCACUGGCUCGAUACUGACGCUGAGGUGCGAAAGCGUGGGGAGCAAACAGGAUUAGAUACCCCGGUAGUCCCUGUCUCUUAUAC
rnacentral:rRNA from 1 species